rnacentral:misc_RNA from 1 species
UAUCCGUAGGUGAACCUGCGGAUGGAUCAUUAAACAAAUCUACGUAUCAACCAACCGUGCACUUUGUUUUUUCCAACUUGCUCUAUCAGUUUGGAAGGGAUCCUCUUUCUCCUUCGGGGGGGGAGGUGAACGGAAAACCUGGUAUCAAGGUGGAAACUUAUUAACCCAUUGUAUUAUCAUCCCCAGUUAUUUUAUUUCUUUGUCGCGGCCUAACGGCGGACUUUCUAGUAAGAAAUUUUUGUACAACUUUUAACGAUGGAUAUCUAGGCUCUC